GCAAAGUCGAGAACGGAUCGUUAAGAUCACGAUAAAGCCAAGUGGUAUCAAAUCAUCCAUCUUUAAACUGCGCGAUUGAAAAAUUAAACUCGAAAUUCUUAAUUCAUCGAGUUAGAUUCUAAAAAGAAAGUGUCUGUUUGAAUAAACCUAAAAUAGAUUCAAAUUCAGGCCAAACUGCCCAAUCAACGUGGGCGUCAAGUCUGGGAUUUUCCUACAAGGACUUGAAUAUCCUUCCGGAGGUCUAUCGAAAGACCCGUGGGGUCAGCAAUGGUUCUCAACCCAC